CCCUGUGGGCCGGACACGGGUGAUCACACGGUCACUCCUGGGCUCCAUGACCACAGACGCACAGUGUGCAUGGGACCACGCCCCAGCCCCACCCAGGACAGACCCCAGCCCCACCCGGGACAGACCCCAGCCCCACCCGGGACAGACCCCAGCCCCACCCGGAACAGACCCCCACCGCACCCAGGACAGACCCCAGCCCCACCCGGGACAGACCCCAGCUGACCACAGCCCCACAUGCACACUGACACUGCCAUGUGACAUAUGCAGCCACUCAGCCGCACACACACAGGAACCGCACACACCUGCCCACGUGUGGCUGUCCCGUCCCCCCCCCACCCCACCCACACCCAGCCCCUGUCUCAGCCCAGGUGCACAGUGGGGGUGGACCAGCGCUGAGCGGCCGGAGGUGGCCUGUCUGUCCUCCGUGUUCUGAGCGUGGCCCUGCCCUUUGAUGGCGACUCUGACCCCGUCACUGACGACUGCGUUUCUUGGCUGAGGCAGGCAGAGCGUGUAGAACGUCCAUCCCAUAGCGCGUCUGUGAUCUCCCAGGAGACGCAUCAGAGCGCGUUCAAGGCGACGCAGCUUGGUGCCUGCUGUGAUAGGUGGCCGAUGACACAGCUCACAGUCCGAGCAGCACAGACGGGCUCUAUUAACGCGAGCGGGACUUGUGCUCCGUUUCUGGCGUCUUCCUCGUGCUUUCCACUGCUCUGGCCACCGAUGCAUUAAGAUCACGUUCUCAUCUAAUCUCAGUGCUGCAGCUGCUGCUCAGAGCAGCGGUCCCCGACCAGGGCCUGGCGCUCAUCGCGGCUGGCUGAGGGGCUGGGCCUCCGUGGAUCCCGCGGGGUGAGGGGGGUGGGCAGGGGGCUGCGGGAUGGUCACCAGGUCCCAGCUUCCAGCUGCUGUUGACCAAACCUUCGUGCAGCGGCUACUCCAGCUCCUGAAGCUUUAUUUAUGCAGCUGAUCCCAGAAGCCACGUGGCAUGGGCCUGGCACGGGGCCUUUGCGCGUGCCCUUUCCUGACUCCGGGACGCCCCUCCCCGCCCCAUCUUCCCCUGGCUUAUCCUUCUAAUCCCGCAGGUCCUGGACCCACAGCAGGUCACUCAUAGCCAGCAGUGCAGCAGGAGACCCCGGCCACUCCCCCACCCUCCGCCUGGCUCUUUUCCGGCACCUCCCGCUCCCUGAAAUUGGCUGGCUGGCGUGUUUCACACUCGCUUCCCUGCGGCCGAGACUGCUGAGUUGCCCCUAAUAUCCAUUUCCUCUUUGUUCCGUAAUAAAAGAACUGAAGCCCCAGACUUUACCUGGGCUCAUCACUGCCCAACCAGAAGACGACAUUCCUCAGCAUCCCUUGCAGUGAGACGUGGCUUCGUGACUGAGUUCUGGCUUUCAUGAGCUGUGAGUGGAAGUCCUUAGAAGGGCUGGGAUGUGCCCUUGGCCUCCCCCUCCUCCUGUUUGCCAGAAUGUGGUCACGAUGGCUGGAGCAUCAGCAGCUGCUCUGGGCCAUAUGCUGCAGCUUGCCAAGGACACGGGAGUGGCCAGAGUGAGCUUGGUUUCUCAUACCUGACCCUGGGCUGCCUGCUUCCAGUCUUCUUUUAUGUGGCAGAAAAUAAACCUCCAUCUUGUUAA